GACGAACCGUGCGAACGUUGUUCGGAAUCACUGGGCUUAAAGGGCGCGUAGGCGGGCUGUCAAGUCUGGGGUGAAAUGCCGCGGCUCAACCGUGGAACUGCCUUAGAUACUGACGGCCUCGAGGGAGAUAGGGGCAUGCGGAACUGUAGGUGGAGCGGUGAAAUGCGUUGAUAUCUACAGGAACUCCGGUGGCGAAAGCGGCGUGCUGGAUCUCUUCUGACGCUGAGGCGCGAAAGCUAGGGGAGCAAACGGG
rnacentral:rRNA from 1 species